CCCAGAAAGCAAAGGAAGUUACACAUGUUGAUGUGCUAUCGGUAGGAAUAACCAAACAUCCUGAGAGGGAUAGGAAGAAAUAUGCCAAGUAAUUCUUCUUCGCACGUUCUCAAGAAUCGGAUCGACUUGAUGGAGCUUAAUUCACACGUAAGAAGAACAGUAAUUCUGUCAGGCUUACACAAAUCCAACUGUUGCUCAUGUUGACAACUAAUAUGUUUCCAGUCUGUAAGAGAAAAACAAAUGCAGAUAAGAGAACAAAGCAACUGACACUACAAGCCAAGAACGGGAUUUUCGUCUCAUUACCUAAGAGAGAGAGAGAUCAGUUGAAUGUGAAAGUAAUGUUCACAAAGCCAACCAUGUUUGUUCUUAUCUUGAUGGUUUUAGUUCCCGAAGGAGUACUUACAGACUCAAUAGGCAUGCAGGAACCAAUAGCCCCAACCAAUGCC